AUUAGUUUGGAUUUGAUUAGAUCAAGUCUGAUUGAGAUAUGAAAUAACCCAAUUGCAAGGAGACUAAUUUUUUGAUUUGAUUAGGAAUUGGGUUCAACUAAUUUUCUGAUUAGAUUAGGAUCUUGUUAAGGAGAUUGAAUUUCUAAUUGGAUUAGGAUUAUUUCCUUUCUUAGGUGUAACCCAUUUCUAAAUUGGUUAGAAAUUAUUUAGCACC
rnacentral:lncRNA from 1 species